GAGAAGAUGCAAUAGGUAAUUUGCUCCAAAGCUUGGGAUAAUACCAGGGAAAUGGAUGUUGAGGAGAUAGAGUUCUGGAGUUUAUCUACCAGCUUUGCUGCCCUACUUGCUUAUUUCUCAGGCUUGGCUGAUAGUUUCCUGGAGAAAGCCUGCUAAGAGUUGGGAGCUAGGUUAAAACAAUGAGUACAAGAAAGGCUGGAGAAGAUGUCCAUGAUCCCACGGAGAUGUGACAAAGAUUAGUGACUACCCUAUUGGUCAUCAUGGAAUCGACAUCCAGUAACUGAUGGAAGCAGAUGCAGUGACCUACAGUGAAGCACUGGGCUGAGCUCCUGCACUUAAGUUGAAGAGAGGAAGGAAGGAUCAUAUGACUAAGGGGAGGGGUCAAGAACAUGAUGAGGAAAACCACAGAUACAGUUUCUAUUGCCUCUGGCCAUUCAUGCCAUUGCUGCUGAAUUUGCUGUUCCAGUACUAAGAAGAGGAACUGAACUGAUAAUUUGUACAAUUGAUUGAUUAUGAAACUGAUGAAGCUUCUCAGUUUAAGGAGGUCCUGUGGGGAGCCACAGCCCCAAGAUGGCACCUGGCUGGCUGCCAGGGAGACCAAGCCUUAUUUGGAAAUGCUUAGUGGAUCUGGUGUGCCUCCUCCAGCUGUGACCUAUCCGGGAUCGCCAGGUGGUGUGAAAUAAUUGGGUAAUGAGCUUGCUUUGAAGGGCCUGCCGGGGGAGGGGGGUGGCUGGGAGAGGGAGAAACUGAUGUACAAGAUUCCUGAAUAAACUUUUUGAAGAAGAGUCGUGGUCGUGUUUC
rnacentral:lncRNA from 1 species